UAUUGUUCCCGAUUCUUUUUUAUUUCCCCGAUUCCUCUUCCUCCGCCGAAUCCUCUGCUCUCUCCCUCACGAUUCCCUCUUCUCCCAUGUCUCUGGCCGACGUUGCCAUCCUGACACCAUCGUCGAUCUUCCGUUCCCUCCCGAGCCGCACACUGCCGGCCGUCUCCUUUUCUUCUCUUGCCGCUGCCACUUGCUGGAUCCAUCAUCGUUGCCACCCGAUCCUUAUCGAGCAGGUGCUGGUACCGCCGGGAAAUCCCGAAGCUCCACCUCGAUAGCAGGGCCGACAACCCUCCGCCUUCUCCUUCCCCGUCACCGCCGCUGGUCGCCGUCUGCCUACUCUUGGUCGUAGGCACCUAGUACUAGUCGAGAGUAGAGCCGAGCACCGGAUCCACCCUUUUGAUUGAACCCUAGUUGUCGAUCCUCCGUCGUUGAUCACUGGCUCUGCCUGUGGCUUAGCUAACGGUCGUUACUCAUCCGACCACAGGAAGGAUUUCAGAUCCCUACUUGCGACAACCCCAUCCCGUACCAUAUCGCGGUCACCACAGUUGGCCGACAUUCCUGGGAUGGCUAGGGCAGCUGGACAGAACGAAGCUUCGUGCCCAGGCAUGGAGCUUCGGCCAGCACUGUUCGCCGACGAACCACAAUUCCGACCAUCCUAUUUUGAAGGUGAACCUCUCCAGCCGUGAGUUGACAAAGGAGCAAUCCAUGUUGGGUAGCAGGUAAAGGAUUUAUGGAGUCGCUUAGAGAACCUGUCCGCCAGUCCCACAUCACAUCUGAGGAUGAUCUUCUGGUUUUGGUUUCCUUUGCUAUUUGUGUUUUGGUUUUGUGAUCUUGGUAUUGUAAUAAUUCGAUGUCGACUUGGACUUUUCUCUUGUGGUAUCGUGUAUUGGUUUGGUGAUGUUGCGUCAAGCCGAGCCGGCUCACAUUUAUUCGUUUUGUUUGUUGCAUGUUUGUUAUUUUGUGAUUUCCGCUAUGCUAUGUUUCAA